GAAACCCGGUGAUCUAGCCAUGGGCAGGUUGAAGGUUGGGUAACACUAACUGGAGGACCGAACCGACUAAUGUUGAAAAAUUAGCGGAUGACUUGUGGCUGGGGGUGAAAGGCCAAUCAAACCGGGAGAUAGCUGGUUCUCCCCGAAAGCUAUUUAGGUAGCGCCUCGUGAAUUCAUCUCCGGGGGUAGAGCACUGUUUCGGCAAGGGGGUCAUCCCGACUUACCAACCCGAUGCAAACUGCGAAUACCGGAGAAUGUUAUCACGGGAGACACACGGCGGGUGCUAACGUCCGUCGUGAAGAGGGAAACAACCCAGACCGCCAGCUAAGGUCCCAAAGUCAUGGUUAAGUGGGAAACGAUGUGGGAAGGCCCAGACAGCCAGGAUGUUGGCUUAGAAGCAGCCAUCAUUUAAAGAAAGCGUAAUAGCUCACUGGUCGAGUCGGCCUGCGCGGAAGAUGUAACGGGGCUAAACCAUGCACCGAAGCUGCGGCAGCGACACUAUGUGUUGUUGGGUAGGGGAGCGUUCUGUAAGCCUGUGAAGGUGUACUGUGAGGUAUGCUGGAGGUAUCAGAAGUGCGAAUGCUGACAUAAGUAACGAUAAAGCGGGUGAAAAGCCCGCUCGCCGGAAGACCAAGGGUUCCUGUCCAACGUUAAUCGGGGCAGGGUGAGUCGACCCCUAAGGCGAGGCCGAAAGGCGUAGUCGAUGGGAAACAGGUUAAUAUUCCUGUACUUGGUGUUACUGCGAAGGGGGGACGGAGAAGGCUAUGUUGGCCGGGCGACGGUUGUCCCGGUUUAAGCGUGUAGGCUGAUUUUCCAGGCAAAUCCGGAAAAUCAAGGCUGAGGCGUGAUGACGAGGCACUACGGUGCUGAAGCAACAAAUGCCCUGCUUCCAGGAAAAGCCUCUAAGCAUCAGGUAACAUCAAAUCGUACCCCAAACCGACACAGGUGGUCAGGUAGAGAAUACCAAGGCGCUUGAGAGAACUCGGGUGAAGGAACUAGGCAAAAUGGUGCCGUAACUUCGGGAGAAGGCACGCUGAUAUGUAGGUGAAGCGACUUGCUCGUGGAGCUGAAAUCAGUCGAAGAUACCAGCUGGCUGCAACUGUUUAUUAAAAACACAGCACUGUGCAAACACGAAAGUGGACGUAUACGGUGUGACGCCUGCCCGGUGCCGGAAGGUUAAUUGAUGGGGUUAGCGGUAACGCGAAGCUCUUGAUCGAAGCCCCGGUAAACGGCGGCCGUAACUAUAACGGUCCUAAGGUAGCGAAAUUCCUUGUCGGGUAAGUUCCGACCUGCACGAAUGGCGUAAUGAUGGCCAGGCUGUCUCCACCCGAGACUCAGUGAAAUUGAACUCGCUGUGAAGAUGCAGUGUACCCGCGGCAAGACGGAAAGACCCCGUGAACCUUUACUAUAGCUUGACACUGAACAUUGAGCCUUGAUGUGUAGGAUAGGUGGGAGGCUUUGAAGUGUGGACGCCAGUCUGCAUGGAGCCGACCUUGAAAUACCACCCUUUAAUGUUUGAUGUUCUAACGUUGGCCCGUUAUCCGGGUUGCGGACAGUGUCUGGUGGGUAGUUUGACUGGGGCGGUCUCCUCCUAAAGAGUAACGGAGGAGCACGAAGGUUGGCUAAUCCUGGUCGGACAUCAGGAGGUUAGUGCAAUGGCAUAAGCCAGCUUGACUGCGAGCGUGACGGCGCGAGCAGGUGCGAAAGCAGGUCAUAGUGAUCCGGUGGUUCUGAAUGGAAGGGCCAUCGCUCAACGGAUAAAAGGUACUCCGGGGAUAACAGGCUGAUACCGCCCAAGAGUUCAUAUCGACGGCGGUGUUUGGCACCUCGAUGUCGGCUCAUCACAUCCUGGGGCUGAAGUAGGUCCCAAGGGUAUGGCUGUUCGCCAUUUAAAGUGGUACGCGAGCUGGGUUUAGAACGUCGUGAGACAGUUCGGUCCCUAUCUGCCGUGGGCGCUGGAGAACUGAGGGGGGCUGCUCCUAGUACGAGAGGACCGGAGUGGACGCAUCACUGGUGUUCGGGUUGUCAUGCCAAUGGCACUGCCCGGUAGCUAAAUGCGGAAGAGAUAAGUGCUGAAAGCAUCUAAGCACGAAACUUGCCCCGAGAUGAGUUCUCCCUGACUCCUUGAGAGUCCUGAAGGAACGUUGAAGACGACGACGUUGAUAGGCCGGGUGUGUAAGCGCAGCGAUGCGUUGAGCUAACCGGUACUAAUGAACCGUGAGGCUUAACCUUACAACGCCGAAG
rnacentral:rRNA from 1 species